rnacentral:rRNA from 1 species
ACGCUGGCGGCGUGCUUAACACAUGCAAGUCGAACGGUGAAGCCCAGCUUGCUGGGUGGAUCGGUGGCGAACGGGUGAGUAACACGUGAGCAAUCUGCCCCUGACUCUGGGAUAAGCGCUGGAAACGGCGUCUAAUACUGGAUACGAACCGUGGAGGCAUCUUCAACGGUUGGAAAGAUUUUUUUGGUCAGGGAUGAGCUCGCGGCCUAUCAGCUUGUUGGUGAGGUAAUGGCUCACCAAGGCGUCGACGGGUAGCCGGCCUGAGAGGGUGACCGGCCACACUGGGACUGAGACACGGCCCAGACUCCUACGGGAGGCAGCAGUGGGGAAUAUUGCACAAUGGGCGCAAGCCUGAUGCAGCAACGCCGCGUGAGGGAUGACGGCCUUCGGGUUGUAAACCUCUUUUAGCAGGGAAGAAGCGAAAGUGACGGUACCUGCAGAAAAAGCGCCGGCUAACUACGUGCCAGCAGCCGCGGUAAUACGUAGGGCGCAAGCGUUAUCCGGAAUUAUUGGGCGUAAAGAGCUCGUAGGCGGUUUGUCGCGUCUGCUGUGAAAUCCCGAGGCUCAACUUCGGGUCUGCAGUGGGUACGGGCAGACUAGAGUGCGGUAGGGGAGAUUGGAAUUCCUGGUGUAGCGGUGGAAUGCGCAGAUAUCAGGAGGAACACCGAUGGCGAAGGCAGAUCUCUGGGCCGUAACUGACGCUGAGGAGCGAAAGGGUGGGGAGCAAAC